UACAGAGGGUGCAAGCGUUAAUCGGAGUUACUGGGCGUAAAGGGCGCGUAGGUGGAAGCAUAAGUGAGUUGUGAAAUCCCUGGGCUUAACCUAGGAACUGCAACUUAAACUGUGUAUCUUGAGUACUGUAGAGGGUAGUGGAAUUUCCGGUGUAGCGGUGAAAUGCGUAGAGAUCGGAAGGAAUACCGGUGGCGAAGGCGGCAUCCUGGACCGACAUUGACGCUGAGGAGCGAAAGCUAGGGGAGCAAACGGG
rnacentral:rRNA from 1 species